rnacentral:rRNA from 1 species
AUUGAACGCUGGCGGCAGGCUUAACACAUGCAAGUCGAGCGGUAACAGAGAGAAGCUUGCUUCUCUGCUGACGAGCGGCGGACGGGUGAGUAAUGCCUAGGAAUCUGCCUAGUAGUGGGGGAUAACUUGCCGAAAGGUAAGCUAAUACCGCAUACGUCCUACGGGAGAAAGGAGGGGACCUUCGGGCCUUUCGCUAUUAGAUGAGCCUAGGUCGGAUUAGUUAGUUGGUGAGGUAAUGGCUCACCAAGACCGCGAUCCGUAACUGGGCUGAGAGGAGGAUCAGUCACACUGGAGCGGAGACACGGUCCAGACUCCUACGUGAGGCAGCAGUGGGGAAUAUUAGACAAUGGGGGGAACCCUGAUCCAGCCAUGCCGCGUGUGUGAAGAAGGUCUUAGGAUUGUAAAGCACUUUAAGUUGGGAGGAAGAGCAGUUAACUAAUAUUUGGCUGUUUUGGCGUUACCGACAGAAUAAGCACCGGCUAACUUCGUGCCAGCCGCCGCCGUAA